rnacentral:rRNA from 1 species
UACAGAGGGGGCAAGCGUUAUUCGGAAUUAUUGGGCGUAAAGGGCGCGUAGGCGGCCUGGCAAGUGGAAGGUGAAAUCCCUCGGCUUAACCGAGGAACUGCCCUCCAAACUGCUUGGCUUGAGUCCGGGAGAGGUGAGUGGAAUUCCCAGUGUAGCGGUGAAUGCGUAGAUAUUGGGAGGAACACCAGUGGCGAAGGCGGCUCACUGGACCGGAACUGACGCUGAGGCGCGAAAGCGUGGGGAGCAACGGG